AGAGUUUGAUCAUGGCUCAGGAUGAAUGCUGGCUGUAUGGAUAAGGCAUGCAAGUCGAACGGACCGCAAGGUCAGUGGCAGACGAGGUAGUAACACGUAGGUACGUACUCCCGAGUCCGGCAUAGCUCGUCGAAAGACGGGGUAAUUCCGGAUGGUCCCGCAAGGGUAAAGAUUUAUCGCUUGGGAAGCGGCCUGCGUAGUAUCAGCUAGUUGGUAAGGUAACGGCUUACCAAGGCUACGACGCUUAGGGGAGCUGAGAGGCUGACCCCCACCGAUGGGACUGAGACACGGCCCAUACUCCUACGGGAGGCCGCAGUCGAGAAUCUUCCGCAAUGGACGCAAGUCUGACGGAGCGAUACAGCGUGAUGGACGAAGUGCUUCGGUACGUAAACAUCUUUUAUGUGGGACGAAAUCAUUGACGGUACCACAUGAAUAAGGGGCUCCUAACUCUGUGCCAGCAGGAGCGGUAAUACAGAGGCCCCAAGCAUUAUCCGGAAUCACUGGGCGUAAAGGGUGUCAAGGCGGUCAUGUUAGUCGUUCGUUAAAUCCCUAGGCUCAACCUAGGACCUGCGAGCGAAACGGCAUGACUUGAGGUCGGGAGAGGUGCGUGGAACUCACGGUGUAGGGGUGAAAUCCGUUGAUAUCGUGGGGAACACCAAAGGCGAAGGCAGCGCACUGGCCCGAAUCUGACGCUCACACACGAAAGCCAGGGUAGCGAAUGGGAUUAGAUACCCCAGUAGUCC
rnacentral:rRNA from 1 species